GGAUUGCGGAGCCUGGGCGGUGUGCGAGGCCGACUUCCUCGCGCCUGGGGCAGCGGGGGGCCAGCAGGCCUGCCUGCCUUCCGGGACGUACCGGCUCACGUACCGGCUCGGUGAGUCCCUGGCCAGGGCCCACCACUCAGUUCAGGAGGCCGACGAGUAUGAAAUACAACUAUCAGGGAGCCGUUACUGUUGCCACCAUUCCUGGCCGUGGAACCUAGAAGAAAUACUUAACCGCUCGCAGCCUCAGUUUUCCUCUCUGUAAAAUGGGUCGUGUGAGGACUCAACAGGUCUUGGUCCUUUGUCCUGGAGGUUACGUUGGGACUGGAUCUCUGAAGCCACGUUGUCACAAGGUGCUGCCUAGCCCAGCUGUUGACUCGGUUGGUAUCUGGAAUAUCACAGCCCACCCAGAUCCCAGGAAGGGAUCAACCCACACUCUUUGCCAGAUUACUAAGGAACACUCCAAGGCACCUGCCUGAGGCCCACAUGGCUGCCCUCCGGAGUGGGAAGGAAGCUGGCAGUUUCGAUCUGUACUGAUAAAGGAGUGUGGCAGACCCGGUCAGUCCCUGGGGAAGUCCCAGCCCACCUGCUUUUGAACACAUGAAGCCCAGUCAUGAA